UGUACUUCUCUAUAGAGCAAAACUGUUCAGAGGUUAUUGAUCUUACUUUAUUUAGUUGGCCAUAUUUAAGAUGCCCCUAUUAAAAAUACGAAUGAUAGUUGGUUUACUGAUAACAAUAGUUUUCAUA